rnacentral:misc_RNA from 1 species
UGGCUCAAGAACAGCACAAGGGAUGAAUGAUUUAGACCAAGACAAGCUUGUUCAACCUUGAGCCUGUAACUUAGUAAGAGUCGAACACAAACGUCUAUGUUAUUUGGUAUUUUCAAAGUACUUGUUACUUAAACGGUGUUGUUAGUCUUGGCUCUUGGUCUGAGUUACUAUAAUCUAUCCCUAAAUAGUAUCUUUAUCUUACAUUCAUGGGUGAUUUUGGGCAUUGUCCUUUGUAUACAUGGUGACAGAAUGAGACCUUCAAAAAAGUUGUACCCUUGCUUUCGAGUGGA